UACGGAGGGGGCUAGCGUUGCUCGGAAUCACUGGGCGUAAAGGGUGCGUAGGCGGGUCUUUAAGUCAGGGGGGAAAUCCUGGAGCUCAACUCCAGAACUGCCUUUGAUACUGAAGAUCUUGAGUUCGGGAGAGGUGAGUGGAACUGCGAGUGUAGAGGUGAAAUUCGUAGAUAUUCGCAAGAACACCAGUGGCGAAGGCGGCUCACUGGCCCGAUACUGACGCUGAGGCACGAAAGCGUGGGGAGCAAACAGG
rnacentral:rRNA from 1 species